GACGAACCGUGCGAACGUUAUUCGGAAUCACUGGGCUUAAAGCGUGUGUAGGCGGGCGGGCAAGUACCUUGUGAAAUCCCACGGCUCAACCGUGGAACGGCUGGGUAUACUGCCUGUCUUGAGCCAACUAGGGGCGAGCGGAACAGACGGUGGAGCGGUGAAAUGCGUAGAUAUCGUCUGGAACGCCAAGGGUGAAAACAGCUCGCUGGGGUUGUGCUGACGCUGAGACACGAAAGCCAGGGGAGCGAACGGG
rnacentral:rRNA from 1 species